UGAAUACGAGACGCUAAGGCGUCGAAGUAGUGUAUGUCAUACUUCCAAGAAAAGCUUGCACUGUCAUAGAUAAAAAACGCCUGUACCAUAACCGACACAGGUGGGUAGGUAGAGUAUACUAAGGGGCGCGAGAUAACUCUCUCUAAGGAACUCGGCAAAAUAACUCCGUAACUUCGGGAGAAGGAGUGCCUUAUUCUUAAGGUUGCAAUAACAAGAUCCAAGCAACUGUUUAUCAAAAACACAGGUCUCCGCUAAGUCGUAAGACGAUGUAUGGGGGCUGACGCCUGCCCAGUGCCAGAAGGUUAAAGAAGCUGGUUAGCAUUUGCGAAGCUAGUAACUGAAGCCCUGGUGAACGGCGGCCGUAACAAUAACGGUCCUAAGGUAGCGAAAUUCCUUGUCGGGUAAGUUCCGACCCGCACGAAAGGCGUAAUGAUUUGGAUACUGUCUCGGAGAGGGGCUCGGUGAAAUAGACUUCUGUGAAGAUGCGGACUACCUGCACCAGGACAGAAAGACCCUAUGAAGCUCUACUGUAACUUGAAAUUGAAAUUGGACUUUAUUCGCGCAGUAUAGGUGGGAGGCGUUGAUUAUAAUCUUGCGGGAUUAUUGGAGCCAUUAGUGAGAUACCACUCUUGUAAUGUUAGAUUUCUAACUUUGAAUCAUUAUCUGGUCAAAGAACAGUUUCAGGCGGGCAGUUUGACUGGGGCGGUCGCCUCCCAAACGGUAACGGAGGCGUACAAAGGUUUCCUCUGAACGGUUAGAAAUCGUAUCUAGAGUGUAAAGGCAUAAGGAAGCUUGACUGUGAGACCUACAAGUCGAGCAGGGACGAAAGUCGGUCUUAGUGAUCUGACGGUACUGAGUGGAAAGGCCGUCACUCAACGGAUAAAAGUUACUCUAGGAUAACAGGCUGAUCUCCCCCAAGAGUUCACAUCGACGGGGAGGUUUGGCACCUCGAUGUCGGCUCAUCGCAUCCUGGGGCGGUAGUACGUCCCAAGGGUUGGGCUGUUCGCCCAUGAAAGCGGUACGCGAGCUGGGUUCAGAACGUCGUGAGACAGUUCGGUCCAUAUCCGGUGUAGGCGUUAGAAUAUUGAGAGGAGCCUUCUUUAGUACGAGAGGACCGAGAAGGACAUACCUCUGGUGUACCAGUUAUCGUGCCAACGGUAGACGCUGGGUAGCUAUGUAUGGAGUGGAUAACCGCUGAAAGCAUCUAAGUGGGAAGCCCACCUCAAGAUAAGUAUUCUCAU
rnacentral:rRNA from 1 species